GAUGAAGAACGUAGCGAAAUGCGAUAAGUAGUGUGAAUUGCAGAAUUCAGUGAAUCAUCGAAUCUUUGAACGCACAUUGCGCCCUUUGGUAUUCCAAAGGGCAUGCCUGUUCAAGCGUCAUUUGUACCCUCAAGCUUUGCUUGGUGUUGGGCGUCUUGUCUCUAGCUUUGCUGGAGACUCGCCUUAAAGUAAUUGGCAGCCGGCCUACUGGUUUCGGAGCGCAGCACAAGUCGCACUCUCUAUCAGCAAAGGUCUAGCAUCCAUUAAGCCUUUUUUUCAACUUUUGACCUCGGAUCAGGUAGGGAUACCCGCUGAACUUAAGCAUAUCAAUAAGCGGAGGA
rnacentral:misc_RNA from 1 species